rnacentral:rRNA from 1 species
UACGUAGGGUGCAAGCGUUGUCCGGAAUUAUUGGGCGUAAAGAGCUCGUAGGCGGCUUGUCGCGUCGGCUGUGAAAACCCGGGGCUCAACUCCGGGCUUGCAUUCGAUACGGGCAGGCUAGAGUUCGGUAGGGGAGUCUGGAAUUCCUGGUGUAGCGGUGAAAUGCGCAGAUAUCAGGAGGAACACCAAUGGCGAAGGCAGCUCGCUGGGACGGUACUGACGCUGAGACGCGAAAGCGUGGGGAGCAAACAGG